rnacentral:rRNA from 1 species
UACGUAGGGGGCAAGCGUUGUUCGGAUUUAUUGGGCGUAAAGAGCGUGUAGGCGGCUAGAUAGGUCCGUUGUGAAAACUCGAGGCUCAACCUCGAGACGUCGAUGGAAACCAUCUGGCUAGAGUCCGGAAGAGGAGAGUGGAAUUCCUGGUGUAGCGGUGAAAUGCGCAGAUAUCAGGAAGAACACCCGUGGCGAAGGCGGCUCUCUGGGACGUGACUGACGCUGAGACGCGAAAGCGUGGGGAGCGAACAGG